ACCUAUCUUUCCAUCAGCCAAUCCACUCCACAGCCUCUGGAGACCACCUCACACAGAAGCAGAGGCCCCUUCUUCCCCGCUGCUCGAUCCUCCAUAGAUGGGCUCCCUGCGAAGCAGCACGAGCGCGGCGGUGGAGAGCGUGGACGCGGAGGCGGCGUGUGGGCUGCUGGCCUCGGAGCAGUACGGGUACGUGGACGUGCGGAUGUGGGAGGACUUCGAAAAGGGCCAUGUCGCCGGUGCACGCAACGUGCCCUACUACCUCUCCGUCACACCCCAUGGCAAGGAGCGCAACCCGGACUUCGUCGACCAGGUUGCGGCGCUCCACUCCAAGGAGGACCGGUUCCUUGUUGGCUGCCGCUCUGGGGUCCGGUCCAGGCUCGCCACCGCAGACCUCGUCGCUGCUGGGUUCGCGAACGUGAAGAACCUGCAAGGCGGUUACCUCUCCUUGCUCAAGAGUACCAGUUACCCGCAGCCGCAAGCAGCAAGCCACCAAUGAUCAAUCAAUUGAUUCUUUGGAGUUUGGAAAGUUUGUUAGUGACCUGUUUGUGUGCUAUGUAUCUAUCAUCCUUGGUCUUAACAAGAGGAAGCAAGUCCUUCAGGCAGCUGGGAUUGAAUUAAUUUCAAAGGGAAAACAAAGCAUUAUGUAUGCAGAGGACAUCAAGAGAAUAUGUGCAAGGCAUGGGAGGACUGAAAUGUCCAUGGAUAGGAUAAGCAGACAAGUAGGAGGAGCCCCCACCGAGGCAAUCCUUUUCAUGUCCUCCAUGAUUGAAUUGUUUGCUUCUUCCGAUGGAAAGAGAAACCACACGUUGGGUCGUUUUCAGGCAACAUAUCUUAUCAGCUCGCUUAUCGGGAGCGUACGUGGCGCACACUAGAUUCAACUUUGGUUAUUCGUGUCCCCUGGCCGUGUCGCCGCAUCUUUAAAGGUGGACUUGUCUUCCCUCUCUUACCAGUCUUACCUAACAAUAACGCACCUCGAGCUGGCCAACCAAUCAAUAAUAGCUGGCUAACGAAUCAACCUGUGGUUGAGUUGGUUAGGUGGACAGUGAUAUCCCCAACCCACCAGGGUUUAAAUCCUGGUGCUCGCAUUAUUCCUGAAUUUAUUUCAGGAUUUCCGGCGAUGCGCUUUCAGUGGGAGGAGACGUUCCCGUCGACGACGAGGCGCCUACGAUGACUUCGUAAAUCUCAAGAUGAUAUGUCGGCUCAGUCUCUCGGAGGUGCUCAUAGGGGUAGGGUGUGCGUGUGUGUGUUCAUAGGGGUGAGUGUAUGCGCGUGUAUAUGAGCGCUUGUGUCUGUACUGAUGCUCAAAAAAAAAUAAAAAUAAAAAUAAUAGCUGGCUAGAAUAAUGCACCUCGAGCUUUGGCAUCACCAUUCACACGCAAGCACAGAUGAGGUUCAAUUAAUAAUAAGAGGGUGCAAAAGGAGAUUGUUACUACAA